AACCCAGACAGAUCUAUCGAGAUCCAUCUCAAACAAAAGCUCCAGCACCUCAUGUGAUAUUGCUGAUUGCCGUUGUUGUCGCCACUGGUUAAAGCUGUUGUUCGUCCUGUGUUGCUGGCCGGAGCAGCUAUUGUUGUCUCGCUAGGCUGCUGCUAGCCGCUACUGCUGGUGGUUGACGCCGGGCUGCUCGUCUGGUGGCUGUCGCCGGAUUGUCCUGUGACUGUUUGACCCUGCAAAAAGAAAAGAAGAGGAAGGAGAGGGGGAAGGGAACGAGCAGAACGAGAGGGAGAAGAGGAGAGAAGGAGGGGAUGGCGGCUGGUGAGAUGGAGGGGAGGAAGAGAGAAGGUGAGGAGAAGAGAGAGAAGAGCAGCGGUGCUGCGGCGGCCUCUGUCCGGCUGUCUCCUUGCCGGAAAAAAUGGAGGAGAGGGAGGAGGAGGAGCGACGGGAGGGAGAAGAAGAGAGGGAGAGCGACGGGAGAGAGAGGUGCGCCUGGAAGCUGCUGCUUCCGGCGGCUGCUGGUGUCUCGUCCGGCUGUCUCCCUCGCCGGAAAAAUGGAGGAGGGGGAGAGAGAAGGGAGAAGGGAGGCGGCUUCUUGGAGAGGAAGAGGGGGCGAAGAGAGAGAGAGAGAGAGUUUAG
rnacentral:misc_RNA from 1 species